UAAAACUAUCAAGCUAGAGUACAGGAGAGGUAAGUGGAAUUCCUAGUGUAGCGGUGAAAUGCGUAGAUAUUAGGAAGAACACCAGUGGCGAAGGCGACUUACUGGACUGAAACUGACGCUGAGGCUCGAAAGCGUGGGGAGCGAACAGGAUUAGAUACCCUGGUAGUCCACGCCGUAAACGAUGAGUGCUAGGUGUCGGGGGGGAACCCUCGGUGCCGCAGCUAACGCAAUAAGCACUCCACCUGGGAGUACGAUCGCAAGAUUGAAACUCAAGGAAUUGACGGGGGCCCGCACAAGCGGUGGAGCAUGUGGUUUAAUUCGAAGCAACGCGAAGAACCUUACCAGGGCUUGACAUCCCUCUGACCGGUGUAGAGAUACACCUUCUCUUCGGAGCANAGGUGACAGGUGGUGCAUGGUUGUCGUCAGCUCGUGUCGUGAGAUGUUGGGUUAAGUCCCGCAACGAGCGCAACCCUAUUCUUAGUAGCCAUCAUUCAGUUGGGCACUCUAGG
rnacentral:rRNA from 1 species